GAAGCUGAGGUCCCUGCCCCCUUCCUGCCCCUUUCCUGAAGAAUCACGGGUUGGGGUGGGGCAGCUGUACGUUUUGAGGAAGCGCUGCGCCCCAGGAAGGGGGUCUAUUUAUCGAAGAGCAGACUCCCCCACUCCCCAAGGCGGGCACAUCACGCCAGCCCUUCUGGUCCCCUAAUCCCAUAUCCUCCCUCUGCACAACAUCCUCUGGGAGGGGACCGGCGGCCAGAAUGUGGCAGGUUUCUGACAUUGUUUUCUUCUUGGAAAUGGAAACCCUCCUUCCGGCAACGUGGCAGUAAAGCAGUGGGCAGCCGGGCCAAGAACGCUUGGGGUGUUUCUCUCGCAUCAUAUGGAACCUGUGUGCAAUGGAAGCAUCCUGAAAAGGAAAGACAGAAAGCAGAUCCCUGGGGAAAACCGGGAGGCCCCCCGCAGAGGCUGGACACCAGGCCCAGCUUUAGGGGCGACUGCCAUCAAUGCUCCUAGAGCCUUUACCACUUGACUCCUCGCAAUAUUUGCUCUCUACUCGCCUUAGUCUGGGGUGCUGGUUCCCCCUCCUUCAGAUCUGGCUUCUGCUCCUGUGAAGAACCACUUCUUUGACCAUCCUUCUUUGCUCUAAUGGCUUGUCUUCACCCACCGAGGACUUGAUCGGGACCAUCUACAUCAGAAUUACCUCAGAGGCCUGUUAAAAAUGCAAAUUCCCAGGGACAGACUGGGAGUUCAAAAUUUGUGGAUACUGACAGGCAUAUGUAGAAUAGAUAAACAAGAUUAUACUGUAUAGCACAGGGAAAUAUAUACAAGAUCUUGUGGUAGCUCACAGUGAAAACAAAUGUGACAAUGAAUAUAUGUAUGUUCAUGUACAACUGAAAAAUUGUGCUCUACACUGGAAUUUGACACAACAUUGUAA